CAGUCGCCGCGGUAACACGAAGGGUGCAAGCGUUACUCGGAAUUACUGGGCGUAAAGCGUGCGUAGGUGGUUGUUUAAGUCUGCUGUGAAAGCCCUGGGCUCAACCUGGGAAUUGCAGUGGAUACUGGGCAACUAGAGUAAGGUAGAGGAUAGUGGAAUUUCCGGUGUAGCAGUGAAAUGCGUAGAGAUCGGAAGGAACAUCUGUGGCGAAGGCGACUAUCUGGGCCAUUACUGACACUGAGGCACGAAAGCGUGGGGAGCAAACAGGAUUAGAUACCCCAGUAGUCCCUGUCUCUUAUAC
rnacentral:rRNA from 1 species